UACGUAGGGGGCUAGCGUUAUCCGGAAUUACUGGGCGUAAAGGGUGCGUAGGUGGUUUCUUAAGUCAGAGGUGAAAGGCUACUGCUCAACCGUAGUAAGCCUUUGAAACUAUCAAACUGGAGUGCAGGAGAGAUAAGUGGAAUUCCUAGUGUAGCGGUGAAAUGCGUAGAUAUUAGGAGGAACACCAGUGGCGAAGGCGACUUACUGGACUGUAACUGACGUUGAGGCUCGAAAGCGUGGGGAGCAAACAGGAUUAGAUACCCCGGUAGUCCCUGAGCGGG
rnacentral:rRNA from 1 species